GUCGGCAGCUAGCUCUCUGCAACUCUCACAUGGUCGCCCUCUGAAGCUAAACAGGGCUGCGCCUGAUCAGUACCUGGAUGGGAGACCAUAUGGGAAAGCUAGGUUGCUUCCGUAA
rfam:Danio rerio chromosome 20, GRCz11 reference primary assembly.